rnacentral:rRNA from 4 species
UUACAACUUUCAACAACGGAUCUCUUGGUUCUGGCAUCGAUGAAGAACGCAGCGAAAUGCGAUAAGUAGUGUGAAUUGCAGAAUUCAGUGAAUCAUCGAAUCUUUGAACGCACAUUGCGCCCUUUGGUAUUCCAAAGGGCAUGCCUGUUCGAGCGUCAUUU